rnacentral:tRNA from 1 species
GGGUAUAUGGCUCAGUGGUAGAGUGCUUGCCUGGAAAGCAUGAGGCCCUGGGUUCAACUUCCAGUACCA